rnacentral:lncRNA from 1 species
AUGAUAAGCUCUCACAUGGAAAUGAUGAAUAGUUGCUCUGCCAUGACUAGUUCUCAAAAUUGAAAUCUCUCUCAAGUUUAGGCAUGACUGUUAUUAAUUAAGAUUUGCUCUAAACCUAAACUUGUGGGAAGAGUACUUGAUCUAUAGUCUAAGUCGUUAACAGAUAUGAUAUGGUAAGGUUGAGCUACUGUUUAUCUAUUCCUAGAGAUGCUAGAAUUCUGGAGAAUUUUAUCUUUGAAAAUCUUUAAAAUGUUACAUGAUGAGUUCCUGUAUGAUGAGAGUUUAAAUUCCUACCAUAGCCAUAUAUACAUGCUUGCUAAGACUUUGAGCCGCACAUUUACUUUUUACUGCUUACGAGCAUUGAGUGUGGUCAAGCUGUGUAGACCCUUAGGAGCUUGUCAUGUGGUUAAAUCAAGAUUCACUUGCACGUUCACUCAUACAUGCUGCUUCUACUCCGGAAGUACGCAUCCACAUACAUCCACUCAUUUCCAUAUCCAGAUCCAUCCAAAAUUAUACUACUUCUAUCUAGGAGAGAAUAGCCAAAAAUAAUAUCCUAUCCCUGUUAUUCCCCGUGAAAUAAAUGCUCGAUAUAUUUUGGUUACUACCACUUGCUACAUUAUUCCAUGAGGGUGAGUGCUCUGAAAAAAAAGUGAAUACAAGGAAAUAAAAAGGGACAAGUGCCCGGAACCUCAAAAAAAAUAAAAAGUGAGACAAGAGGUAAAAAUGGACAAGUGUCCGACAGUAGAAUUAGGGGUACAAGAUACCCGCCUGAGAGAAAAGAAAAAGAAAAUAUAGAGUAUCUCAUUCUCCUCAAAAAGUUUCAAAAGAGCAAGAAAGGUAUGUAUCCCCUCAAAAGAGCAUAAGUAGAAUUAGAUUUUCACUAUUGUUAUCACCAUCAUCACCAUACACCAUUCAUUCACCACACAUGCACAUCUUGAUUUGACUUAUUGACUUGUUCUUCUAGAUCCAUGGUUUGACUAUGCAAUAAAUGUCUUGUAAGUAUGUAUUAGCUGUCUCCCACCUAUGAGCUCUAGAUAUCAAAACCUUAUUAGAGUAGGGUGAGAGAGAAGGCAAUGCCACUAUGCCUCAUACCAAAAAUACCACAUACUUUGAGAGAAGGCAUACACCAUUCCUGCCUUGAUAAGGAUCCAGAAAUACCACAAAAGAGAGACUAGAGAGAGUCAUACAAGGAAUCUCUGAGUUUUAUUUGAAAAUCUGCAAAAACUCCAGAGCUAUAGUUAAUCGAAGAACAAGAGACAUGGCGCUUGACUAGACCGUUCUAUCUCUCCAGAUAUCAAAACCUUAUUAGAGUAGGGUGAGAGAGAAGGCAAUGCCACUAUGCCUCAUACCAAAAAUACCACAUACUUUGAGAGAAGGCAUACACCAUUACUGCCUUGAUAAGGAUCCAGGAAUACCAAAAAGAGAGACUAGAGAGAGUCAUACAAGGAAUCUCUGAGUUUUAUUUGAAAAUCUGCAAAAACUCCAGAGCUAUAGUUAAUCGAAGAACAAGAGACAUGGCGC